UUAAUAAUUUAAUAAUAAUUAAUUAUUAAUGAUAAUAGAAUUGUUUGAUGUUUAAAUUAUUUAAUUAUGAUUCCGAUGUCUAAAAAUGCAUGAUAAAUUAUUAUAAAUGCUUUAAAAAUAUUUUAAGUCAUUUAAAAAUAAAAUGACUGAUGUUGAGAUACAGAAUAAGAGUCUUAGACUCAGUAAUUACCCGAUAAAGCUGUCGGUACGCCGAUAAAUGUCAGACCCUAUAAUAGAAAGAAAAGGCUACUGUAAGAACAUGGAUGAGAUAUUUGAAAAAUGUAUAAAAAUAUUUCAAGUAUAGAAUAUGAACUAAAAGUAUGAUCACUGCGAUUAUGUGAUGACGUGAUUAGACUAUGUGCUGACUGUAAUAGACAGUACUAUGUGUUAUGAUAUAUUGUUCUAAUCGAACGAAUGAUCUGAUUAUUGAUAGGUUGUGAUAAAGAGAUAAAACCUAAGUUGAGAUUUGUAAUCAGCGAAUCAGGCAAGUAUCUUACCUUUGCAUUUCCUUUAUGCAAUGGACAUGAGUAAGAGAGUUUCAGAAUUCUUUUCUAUUCCUGUACAGAUUAUGUACGCUUUGAUUAUCAACAUGUUAGCUCAGAUAUAUAUUUUGUUCAUUGAUUUCUAAAUGGUUAUACAAGUGUCC
rnacentral:lncRNA from 1 species